GUCUUUUUGAAUAUAAUUUAAGGUCUAAUCUGCCCACUGAUUUAAAUAUUAAAGGGCCGCAGUAAUUUGACUGUGCAAAGGUAGCAUAAUAAUUAGUUUUUUAAUUGAAAGCUGGUAUGAAUGAUUGGACGAGAAUAUAGCUGUCUUAAUUUAAUUUAUUUAGAAUUUUAUUUUUAAGUUAAAAAGCUUAAAUUUUAUUUAAAGACGAGAAGACCCUAUAGAGUUUUAUAUAAAAAUUAAUAUUAAUAAAUAGAUAAAUUUUUUAUUAUUAAUGGGAUAUUUUAUUGGGGCGGUAGAAAGAUUUAUUAAACUUUUUUAAUAUUUAAACAAUAAAUUUUGGAAUUUUGAUCCUUUUUUAAGAUUAGUUGAUUAAAUUACCUUAGGGAUAACAGCGUAAUUUUUUUGGAGAGUUCUUAUUGAUAAAAAAGAUUGCGACCUCGAUGUUGGAUUAAGAUUAAUUUUUAAUGUAGAAGUUAAAAAUAUUAAGUCUGUUCGACUUUUAAAAUCUUACA
rnacentral:rRNA from 1 species